GCACCAAGCCCCAUGCUUUGAAUCAUGCUCUCUGCCCAGACUUCCCUUGCGUGGCUGUCUGGUUUGCUGCUAAUUCCACUAGUAUAGCCCUGUUGUUCGGGACCCAGCAAGUCUGGGGACCAGCCUUUUGGAGGAGGCCCUGUUCAAGGGCUUCAUCGGACUCUGAAAAAGGCAAAGAACCCUGGGAAUCUACUGUGAUGCCUGAGCCAGAACCCCACCAAGGUCCAAGCUCAUCACUAAACUGUGGCACUUGUUCAUCUGGGCCAGCUCUUGGUGUCUCAGCCUAGGCCCUCUCCGGUGGAGCAAGCCACACUGCAGGACUUGAGUCAGCUCAUCAUCUGAAAUUGCCCGUCCUUUUAUGUUCACAACAUUCAUGUAUAUUUACACCUUGCAAUUUUACUUGACUUUCCAUCAGUUGGACCACUCAUGUGUGCCCUCGAGCAGGAGCAAAGGUCCUGUCUCCCUCCAAAACCACCCUUCCCAAAUCAGCCUGCCAUCUAUGAUGGUCAAAGUUUCGAAGUGGCCCUGAGCUGCUCAGGUUUUCUGUGGUACCCUCGUCAGCAUCUGAUCAGAAGCCUGGCAGAGGCAUAGCCAGAAGCACUGACUCCUCAUGUAAUGGUGCUUCUGGCUUAGAACCUGGUCCAUCACCUGUUGCGGGAUCCCCAACUUCUGCAAACCAUUGCUCAUUUCCUGGUGGUUCAGGAAGCCUAGCUCAAUACAAGGUAGUCCAGAAGUUGGUCCUGCCCUUUGGGAGGUUGAACUACAUGCCCCUGGAGCAGCAGUUUAUGCCCUGUCUUGAUAGGAUCCUGGCUCUGGAACCAGGGGUUCCCUUGACCACAGUCAACAUUUUGAUGUCACUGUGCCAGCUGCAGUGCUUGCCCUUCAGAGCCCUGCAGUUUGUCUUGUCCCCCAGUUUCAUCAACCACAUCAAUGGCACCACUCCUUCUAGGAUUGUGUGAUGCUACCUCUCUCUACUCUAAAGAGCUGUGGAGUUUGAACUCCCAGGAUACCAAGGCCCCUGCCUUCCCCAAAGGCAAUGAGUACUCAUCUUCCCACAACCUCUCAUCACUGACAGUGUAUGCUGCAAAUACAGUCACAAGGACACAGUAGCUGAGGGGCUGCGCCAGCUGUUAGGGAAAGAAAAAUACUAACAGGAUCAGACUGCACCUCCAGGUUACAGCACAGACUUUCUACCCUGUUUGGGUAGUUCUGGUGCUGUGCUACUUAUGAGGACACAAGACCUCUUCCUGCCCCACGCACCAUGGUCCUGCCAACAGGAGCAGGCUAGCUUUAAUCCCACAACCCAAGACCCUGCCCUAAGGGUGGUACUGAUGCUGCGAGAAAGCUGGCAUUUCUGCCAAGAUAGCAGGGUGCUGAUUGGCUCUCCGGCUCCGAGAGAGCUGCACCUGGGCCUAAUGAGCUACCAACUCCUGCUGCUGCCAUUUGAAGAACUAGCAUCUUUGAAGAGGCCUGCCCUGGCUUAAGAGCUACCUUAGGCAAAAGCUUCAGGCCUUAUGUCUCCGCUGGGGACCUGAGGUGGUUGAGGGAGUACAAACAGGGCUCAGUAUGGAUCCCCUAUGGCAAGGAGGGUGGACAAUUUGCACUUUGGCCCCCUGUUAUUUUUUUCAUUAA